UUAUAAGACGAGAAGACCCCAUGGAGCUUUAAACCUAGCCACACCCAGAAUCUUUAUACCUAACUAUUAUCUGAACCCUGUAAGCUAGGCUUUAGGUUGGGGUGACCGCGGAGUAAAACAAAACCUCCGCAAUGAACGAAACUACCGUCUUAUCUAAGAAUAACCCCUCUAAGAAUUAGCACUCUAACAUAAAUGAUCCAAUUAUUGAUCAACGGACCAAGUUACCCUGGGGAUAACAGCGCAAUCCACUUCAAGAGCUCCUAUCGA
rnacentral:rRNA from 1 species